GGGCCCGCACAAGCAGCGGAGCAUGUGGUUUAAUUCGAAGCAACGCGAAGAACCUUACCAGAGCUUGACAUCGUCUGAAUUACCCGUAAUGGGGGAAGUCCUUCGGGACAGACAGACAGGUGGUGCAUGGUUGUCGUCAGCUCGUGUCGUGAGAUGUUGGGUUAAGUCCCGCAACGAGCGCAACCCCUAUUGCUAGUUGCCAUCAUUAAGUUGGGCACUCUAGUGAGACUGCCGGAGACAAUUCGGAGGAAGGUGGGGAUGACGUCAAAUCAUCAUGCCCCUUAUGUUCUGGGCUACACACGUGCUACAAUGGGUGUAACAACGGGAAGCGAGUCGGCAACGGCAAGCCAACCUCUAAAAAGCACCCUCAGUUCGGAUUGCAGGCUGAAACCCGCCUGCAUGAAGUUGGAGUUGCUAGUAAUCGCGAAUCAGCAUGUCGCGGUGAAUACGUUCCCGGGCCUU
rnacentral:rRNA from 1 species